rnacentral:rRNA from 1 species
GAUGAACGCUGGCGGCGUGCCUAAUACAUGCAAGUCGAGCGAACGGACGAGAAGCUUGCUUCUCUGAUGUUAGCGGCGGACGGGUGAGUAACACGUGGAUAACCUACCUAUAAGACUGGGAUAACUUCGGGAAACCGUAGCUAAUACCGGAUAAUAUUUUGAACCGCAUGGUUCAAAAGUGAAAGACGGUCUUGCUGUCACUUAUAGAUGGAUCCGCGCUGCAUUAGCUAGUUGGUAAGGUAACGGCUUACCAAGGCAACGAUGCAUAGCCGACCUGAGAGGGUGAUCGGCCACACUGGAACUGAGACGCGGUCCAGAAUCCUACGGGAGGCAGCAGUAGGGAAUCUUCCGCAAUGGGCGAAAGCCUGAAGGAGCAACGCCGCGUGAGUGAUGAAGGUCUUCGGAUCGUAAAACUCUGUUAUUAGGGAAGAACAUAUGUGUAAGUAACUGUGCACAUCUUGACGGUACCUAAUCAGAAAGCCACGGCUAACUACGUG